rnacentral:misc_RNA from 1 species
AAGUCGUAACAAGGUUUCCGUAGGUGAACCUGCGGAAGGAUCAUUAACACGUAUCCACGUAUCUACCUCUUGCGAACUUGUUUUGUUUAUAGUUAUGCUAGAUAUUUUUUUGAGGAAGCAGAUGGCCAUGUCGGAAUCGUCCUUCUGUUCUGCUUGCCUUCCACCUAAUGUUGAGUGCUAGUGUAUUGAGAUCUGAAAUUUAAAUCGUCCUUUAAAUAUUCAGUCCUGCUAGCCUUUUAAGACUCCAUUUGGGAUGGGUAUCUGGUGCAACUCGAAUCAUGGUGGUUUAUUAACCAUUAACCCCUUUUUCAAUAUUUUGUCUUAGUGAGUGGUUUCUUUUUUUCUUUUGUGGAAAAAAAGACCCCUCCCCAAAAAAAUAACAAAGAUACAACUCUUAGCAACGGAUAUCUCGGUUCU